rnacentral:misc_RNA from 1 species
AAGGAGUCUAACAUGCGUGCGAGUGUUUGGGUGGUAAACCCGGGCGCGUAAUGAAAGUAAACGGAGGUGGGAGCUUUUGCGCACCAUCGACCGGUCCGGAACUUUUGGGAUGGAUCUGAGUAAGAGCAUGUAUGUUGGGACCCGAAAGAUGGUGAACUAUGCCUGAAUAGGGCGAAGCCAGAGGAAACUCUGGUGGAGGCUCGUAGCGAUUCUGACGUGCAAAUCGAUCGUCAAAUUUGGGUAUAGGGGCGAAAGACUAAUCGAACCAUCUAGUAGCUGGUUCCUGC